rnacentral:tRNA from 1 species
AGCCUUGUAGUGAUUNACACAUCAAAUUGCAAAUUUGAAAACGUUCCUUUUGGUUCCGGGGCUU